GCCCGGUUAGCUCAAUCGGUAGAGCGUGAGACUCUUAAGCAAUCUCAAGGUUGCGGGUUCGACCCCCGCAUCGGGCU
rnacentral:tRNA from 1 species